AUGCCAUGUUUGGUUUCAUUCCAUUCAGUGGUUCUCUAAAAGAAGUCAUUUGUAUGCAUUUCCCUUAGGGUCCUAUGUUAAACUAAGUCCCCUGCUGGCGGCCAUCUUGGAUAAUGGAUCGGCUACAAAGUAACAACACUUGGUCAGCACCUCAUAAGGAACAUUCAUGCUAUGUUUGGUUUCAUUCCAUUCAGUGGUUCUCUAAAAGAAGUCAUUUGUAUGCAUUUCCCAUAGGGUCCUAUGUUAAACUAAGUCACCCGCUGGCGGCCAUCUUGGAUGAUGGAUCGGCUACAAAGUAACAACACUUGGUCAGCACCUCAUAAGGAACAUUCAUGCCAUGUUUGGUUUCAUUCCAUUUAGUAGUUCUCUAGAAGAAGUUCAAAAUGUAAAAAGUUAACGACGACGACGGA
rnacentral:lncRNA from 1 species